UUAGACUGAACUGAACAAUAUUUUCUGGUUCAAUCUCUCAGGUUGCACAGACGACAUUGUCACCAGUGAUCACUCACCUGUGUUUGCGACGUUUGAGGUGGGCAUGACCUCACAAUUUGUCUCAAAAAAAGUGACAUCACUGAGGAGGACCUAGAGGAGGCGGGCAUCCUAGACCCCACCCACAAGAUGAUCCUAUUGGCCAGUUUGAGACAGCAGCAGCAGCAGAAGUGAGCAGAACAACUGCAGCAUCGCUAACAUGGUCUUCAUCCUCCAUCUUCCUCCUCAGUCUAUAUCUUCCGCUCGACAGUGUUUAAAGAGAAGUCAACAUGUCGGUCACACACAGUUUCACUACAGGCCUCGAACCUGCAGCUGAGGAUCACCUUCCUGCUUCCUGCCAGAGGAGGAAGUGACAUAAUCAGAGUAUGCCUGAGAGCUUCAUCCACAUUCCUUUUGUUUUCUCUUUUGGGUGAUUGGCUUAUUUAGUUUAUUCGUUUAGUGUUAAUGAUUUUAAUAAAGAAAAGGGAAAGAAAGAAGCCAAAUUCAGUGAAUAAUUAUUUAGUUUAUAAACUUUAUUCUGUGUGUGUGUGUGUGUGUGAGAAAGAGGACAUUUAUGUUUGUUUUAUGUACGUUUUCUUUUGUAUUGUGUAUUAAAGUGUGUGUGUGAGUGUGUUCUGAGACAUUUCUAGAGUUCCUCGGAAUAUGCUCGGCUUCUUUGUGGCUUGUCUGUCUCUUUUCUGGAACUUUCUAAAAGUUGAACACUAGCGUUAAUGUGUGUGGGAGACGUGGUUUGUAAAGACCAACUCAGCUUAAAUGCUAAAUGUGUGGGAACAGCACAGUUAAUGGGAAAAAUAUAUUUAUAACGCACACUAUCUUAUGAUAAUGAACUCCAUGUGAUCUGGAGUUACCGGAAGUAGCCACUAGGCGGCGCUGCAGAUUGUUUUUAAGUGGUUAGUGUGUUUAAUGAUUCCGUCAGUGCAGUGGAGAUGAAAAUUGACCCUGGAUCUGUAAAAAUGGGAUAAAAUAUGAGUGAGAAAAGUGAUGAGUAUUUGUUCAGGAUUAAAUUUAGGAUAAAAUCAGUUUAACAUUAAAUUAACUCUAACAUAUUUUAUACACACACACACACACACACACACAACACACUCUGUUCACUGUGGAGUGAGCCUGAAAGUCUAAUGUAGCCUACAUUACCUUGUGUGUAAGUGUAAAAAUGGUCACGUUUUAAUUUUAAACACUUUCUCUUUGUGUUCAGUUUACGUUGCUGUUUGUAACUGUUUUAUUAAUGACUUUAAGUUAAUAUUUGUGAAUUGGCGCUGAAUGAAGUCAUGUGAAUAAAAACUAACGACUGAU